rnacentral:rRNA from 1 species
CAAAGCCGCGAGGUGGAGCGAAUCCCUAAAAGCCGUCCCAGUUCGGAUUGCAGGCUGCAACCCGCCUGCAUGAAGUUGGAAUCGCUAGUAAUCGCGGAUCAGCAUGCCGCGGUGAAUACGUUCCCGGGCCUUGUACACACCGCCCGUCACACCAUGAGAGUCGGGGACACCCGAAGUCCGUAGUCUAACCGCAAGGGGGACGCGGCCGAAGGUGGAUUCGAUAAUUGGGGUGAAGUCGUAACAAGGUACC